UGGGGAAUAUUGCACAAUGGGGGAAACCCUGAUGCAGCGACGCCGCGUGAAGGAAGAAGUAUCUCGGUAUGUAAACUUCUAUCAGCAGGGAAGAAAAUGACGGUACCUGAUUAAGAAGCCCCGGCUAACUACGUGCCAGCAGCCGCGGUAAUACGUAGGGGGCAAGCGUUAUCCGGAUUUACUGGGUGUAAAGGGAGCGUAGACGGAAGAGCAAGUCUGAUGUGAAAGGCUGGGGCUUAACCCCAGGACUGCAUUGGAAACUGUUUUUCUAGAGUGCCGGAGAGGUAAGCGGAAUUCCUAGUGUAGCGGUGAAAUGCGUAGAUAUUAGGAGGAACACCAGUGGCGAAGGCGGCUUACUGGACGGUAACUGACGUUGAGGCUCGAAAGCGUGGGGAGCAAACAGG
rnacentral:rRNA from 1 species